rnacentral:rRNA from 1 species
ACCUGCCCUUAACUUCGGGAUAAGCCUGGGAAACCGGGUCUAAUACCGGAUACGACGGAUCCCCGCAUGGGGGUCCGUGGAAAGCUUGAUGCGGUUUUGGAUGGACUCGCGGCCUAUCAGCUAGUUGGUUGGGGUAAUGGCCCACCAAGGCGACGACGGGUAGCCGGCCUGAGAGGGUGACCGGCCACACUGGGACUGAGACACGGCCCAGACUCCUACGGGAGGCAGCAGUGGGGAAUAUUGCACAAUGGGCGAAAGCCUGAUGCAGCGACGCCGCGUGAGGGACGAAGGCCUUCGGGUUGUAAACCUCUUUCAGCAGGGAAGAAGCGAAAGUGACGGUACCUGCAGAAGAAGCGCCGGCUAACUACGUGCCAGCAGCCGCGGUAAUACGUAGGGCGCAAGCGUUAUCCGGAAUUAUUGGGCGUAAAGAGCUCGUAGGCGGUUUGUCGCGUCUGCUGUGAAAGCCCGGGGCUCAACCCCGGGUCUGCAGUGGGUACGGGCAGACUAGAGUGCAGUAGGGGAGACUGGAAUUCCUGGUGUAGCGG